rnacentral:tRNA from 1 species
GUGGCUCCAUGGUAGAGCAUCUGCUUGGCAUGCAGAAGGUCCCAGGUUCAAGCCACUUCAUCUCCA